AUAAACCUUUGAGGGUUGAGCUGGCGUUUAUUCGCAUGUGCUUGCCCUCUCAUCCUUUAUACACCUGUGCACUUUGAAGGGAGACAUUAGUAGACAUUCACUUGUCGAAGGUAUCUCCCUUUACACUACAUACUCUAAUGAUUACUUUGGAUGUUUAACGCUUAACAGCAUUUAAUUA
rnacentral:misc_RNA from 1 species